rnacentral:ncRNA from 1 species
CAAAGGCUUGGUCCUGACUUUUUUAUCAAUUUUAGCCAAACUUACACAUGCAAGUAUCCGCACCCCUGUGAGAAUGCCCCCUCCCCAUUUCCCCGCCAGGGAACAAGGAGCCGGUAUCAGGCACGCCCCCCCCAGCCCAUGACACCUUGCUUAGCCACACCCUCAAGGGAACCCAGCAGUGAUAAACAUUAUGCCAUAAGUGAAAACUUGACCUAGUUAUAGCUAAGAGGGCCGGUAAAACUCGUGCCAGCUACCGCGGUUAUACGAGAGACCCGAGUUGAUAGAUACCGGCGUAAAGCGUGGUUAGAAGUAAGACGAACACUAGAGUCAAACAUAUACAGAGCUGUUAUACGCUCCCGAAUACAGGAAGAACACCCACGAAAGUGACUCUACGACACUUGAACCCACGAAAGCUAAGAUACAAACUGGGAUUAGAUACCCCAUUAUGCUUUGCCGUAAACAUUGAUAGUAUACCACAUCCACUAUCCGCCCGGGAACUACGAGCAUUAGCUUAAAACCCAAAGGACUUGGCGGUGCUUUAGACCCACCUAGAGGAGCCUGUUCUAUAACCGAUAACCCCCGUUCAACCUCACCUUUUCUUGUUUUCCUCCGCCUAUAUACCGCCGUCGUCAGCUUACCCUGCAGAGGGAACACACAGUAAGCACAAUUGGUAAUGCCCAAAACGUCAGGUCGAGGUGUAGCGCAUGAAAAGGGAAGAAAUGGGCUACAUUCCCUGUUACAGUGAAUACGGAUGAUAUUGCUGAAACGUAUGUCUAGAAGGAGGAUUUAGCAGUAAGUAGGAAGCAGAGCGUUCUACUGAAACUGGCCCUGAAGCGCGCACACACCGCCCGUCACUCUCCCCGAGCGAAAGUACUCAACUCUACCUAAAAAAUCGCAAUAGUAAAGGGGAGGCAAGUCGUAACAUGGUAAGUGUACCGGAAGGUGCACUUGAGCAAACC